CAGCCCCACAGAGGCUGGGUGAGAGUUCCUGAAUUCACUCAGGCCUCGAGCACAAUUAGCCAAGAUGAAUUUUUGAGCUGGAGCAUAAUGAGACCCGGACGUCCGGAGAGCAUAUGGCAGCCGCCCAGGGGACGGGAGAGCCCCAGCAGAGCCCACUGCUGUUAGGAGGUCACCAGGCCACCGCCUCUCUUGGGCGAGAGGUCUGGGAGGCACUGGGGAACACUUCCCCCCCUUUAGAAUUCUUCAAGGGCAGCACAGCCGAUAGCAGUGUUGGGGGGGGGGGAGCGGGAGAUAGAAGAAUAGGCUCCCUAUAUCUGUCCCAGGCCCUUCCAGGGUCAGGGCUGGGGAGCUCUAUCCUGCACCCUUUGAUAGAUUUGCCGACAAAUGCAUCUCACAUGGCUGAAACCAUGCUGCAGGCACAGAAUAGCUCCUUCUGUCCGUGCAAAAGACAAAUACGUCAUUCAAACAUCUCUACUCGAACAUAUACGGGGCCAGGCACGAGAAAUGCAUCACGGGAUCCGUGGCAUCGCACGCUCCCUCCCACUCAGGACGCGGGGCUUGCCCUCUGGCAGGGGAGGUAGGGCAUCUUCAGCUAUAACCCUCUUAGCACAGUAGUGACAGAAGGACAGAGUUGGGACUUGAGGAGAGAUCAGAGGAGGCUCCGUGGAGGAGGUGGCGUUUUGGCUGGACCCUGAAAGCAGGGGGCAGGAGGCACACGUUGAAUCUGGGGGCAGCAAGCACACCAGUGUGGCUCGAGGGCGGGGUGUGGGCAGGAGCCAUGGAAGUAAACGUGGUCGGAGAGGGAAGGCUUUGAACACCCAGCGAAGCGGCCUGGGCAGGGGGAAGCCAAAGAAUAUUGCUGCCCAGGUGGACAACGACUCCAGGUGUACAGGCUGCCCCUGCCCCCAGCCCUCUCUCUGGCCAGCAACCCAGCUCAGGGGCCCGGGAGCCAGGACACCCCAAUUCCGGCCAGCCGUCGACCCUCUCCUCCUGAGCUUCAGCCUCUGGGGAACUGAUUUUCUGAAAGUUGGAAAUGCUCUCAGAGCCAAGCAUGUGGAACAGAUUUAUUUAUUCAUGAGAGACACAGAGACAGAAGAGAGGGAGAAGCAGCCUCCAUGCUGGGAGCCCGACGCGGGACUCGAUCCCAGGACCCCGGAAUCACACCCUGAGCCAAAGGCAGACGCUCAACUGCUGAGCCACCCAGGCGCCCCUAUGCAUUUGUCUCAACAGCCUUUACCACCCCCUGACACCCUGACAUCCUAAUAUUUAUGUAUUUCUCUUCUCUCCUGUCUCCUGAGCCUCCAGAGCCAGUCCCUUGAGGGCAGGGGGGAUCUUUUGUUCAGCGAUGUUGCUGUGCCCUGUCACCUAGAACGGUGGCCGGCGGAGUAUGUGCUUGAUGAAUAUUUAUCGUCAUGGGAUCUAUUGACUCCAUCAUCUUUCUUCUCUAUGAAAAGCUCUGGACUGGCUGAUCCGCUACUGGACCCCAGCCUCAAUCUGCACUUCUCUGGCUCCUCCCGUGGCCCCCGCCCCAGCUCCCAGCCCCUGCCCCCCACACUUGAUCCUCUCUGGGCCACCCCAAAGCUCUGGAUACCCCAGCAGCACUGCUGUCCUUGUCUCCACUCGCACCACAUGCCCUGCUCGGCACCUUUCCGAAUCCUGCUUACCCUACACGUCAGACUUGAACAUCACCUCCUCCUGCGGGCCUCGUCCAGUCUCUCUCACGCCCCCGGCCUUCAGGACCUGCGAUCGGUGCUGCCCCAAUCACGUCUCGGGAUCAGUGUCAGCCUCCCAGGCAGAACUCAGCUUCCUCAAUGGUGGGGGACCCCUGUCCCCUCUGUCCCCUCUCUGAGCAGUGCCUGGCUUGGAGCUGGUGCUUCCUGGAUCAAGACUCAGGUGCUUCUGACACUCACACCGUUAUUGACCUUCACCUCUUACAAGGCCCAUCAUGGAUCUGGGAACAGCGAGCCAGUGAUGUCGCUGGGAACCGAACCUUGGCCCCCGGAGAAGCCUCUGCAGCCCUGCCCCGGGGGCCAAACAGGACAGGGUGCAGCGUGGCCUGCCAGGACGCUCGGGGCCCAGAGCGCAGACUUUCACAUCUGAAGACAAGGCCAGCCCCGCUGUCAGGGGGAAGCGCAGCCGUGCUCCUUGGUGCCUGCGACUCCCGCGGGGUCUAAACCGGACAGCCGUGUCCCCUUCCUGGGAGGAAAUCCUGCCCGAGUUCUCAGAGACACAUGCAGCGGGACUCAGCUGGAGGAGGAGGGAGGGAAGGGGUCCCGGGGGGGCCUCGGGCCUGGGAGCCUUCCCUCUGGCCUGACCCCGCAGGCCGCAGCUGAGGCUGCCGGCUGGGCUGGCCGUCCAGUCCUGCCUCCGGUCAGUUCUCUGGCCUCGAGCACUGCACAGCGGGGACUUCUGCGUGGUAUAAUGCUCCCUGCGCCCCUUCCUCCCCCUCCACUGCUCCCCAUCCCACAGCCCCCCUGACUCUCCAAACACUGGCAAGAGACAGACAGAACUGGACUGAUACCUCUCUCUUUUCAGAGCUGGAAACAAAGACCCAGAGAAGUCAAGUAACUUGCCCAAGGUCACACAGCACAGUAGAGGCAGAGCCCAGGACAGAACUAGGCUGAGAUUUCAGAUGGCGAAUGAGCCACCUCCUCCCUGAAGCCUUCCUUGACCAUUCCUACCCCACGAGGAUCCCCCCUGCCUCCCCGAGCUUCCUCACGGAUCGCCGUCGCCGCUGCCACCUGGGACCUGCUCCUGUGACACCCUCACGUGUGAGGUCUUAUCGUUCCGACUCAGUUACAAGUGUCUAGAGAGCCAGGUGCCAGCUUCUGUUUCAGCCAGGUAUCUGGAGGAUGAGGGCUGGCCCUGGACAUGACUCCAGAAGGAAAUUCAGCUUUAAAGAGAUCUUCAUGCCUGGACUCUACUUCCCGGAGAAUCUGAUUCUAUGGUUCUGGCUGGAAGGGGGCAGAGAGGACCAACUACAUCAUCUGUAGAGGCCCUUGAUCAAAAAUUAUAAAGAAUUUCAAGAUAGUAUCCGCAGAACAUCAAGCGUCACACAGGUCACAAUCCCACGAAGCUGGUCCUGGGGGCAACUAUUUAAACUUCCCCAGGGGAUGUGCACCAGCCUUGAGAGCCACCACCAGUCAUGACAAUGUGGGGCCACUGAGGGUUCUGCACCUCUGAGCUCCCACGGCAGUAACGGGCCUCUGCAUGCCUGGGUUGCCCGGAGCACAAAUAUUUGUCGAAGGAAUGGAUAUAUGAACGGAUGGAGGGAAAUGAAGCUUGAACUAGAAAGCCGGGAAGGAUCUUUUUCCCACUUGCUUUAAAAAAUCAAAUAUAUUAAAUAUUAAUACUAUAUUAUUAACAAGUCAAUAUAAUAAGUCAAUAAUUGUUUUGUAUAAAAAAUAAAAUAUUCAUAGUUUAAUAUUAAUAUACUAAAACACAUUCAACAUGCCCAUAGUGCACAGGCCUUAAGUGUUCAGCUUGAAAAGUUUUUACACAUGCUAACAAUCACUUGACUCCCAUCCCUCCAGACGGUUCUCUUGCGCCCUAUCCCAGCUAAUACUAUACCCCACCUCACCCUGGGUCACCAAUAAAAAGUGAAUAGAAUGUUCAUCAGAGAAGGGCUCUCUGGCUGGAGGAGGCUGUAUGGAAAAGA